rnacentral:hammerhead_ribozyme from 1 species
GCACUGCUAAAGAGUCCCACAAUAGAACGAAAUGGCCGUCCAGUGC